AGCGAACGCUGGCGGCAUGCUUUACACAUGCAAGUCGAACGGUAACAGGCCGCAAGGUGCUGACGAGUGGCGAACGGGUGAGUAAUGCAUCGGAACGUGCCCAGUCGUGGGGGAUAACGCAGCGAAAGCUGCGCUAAUACCGCAUACGAUCUAUGGAUGAAAGCGGGGGACCGGAAGGCCUCGCGCGAUUGGAGCGGCCGAUGUCAGAUUAGGUAGUUGGUGGGGUAAAGGCUCACCAAGCCAACGAUCUGUAGCUGGUCUGAGAGGACGACCAGCCACACUGGGACUGAGACACGGCCCAGACUCCUACGGGAGGCAGCAGUGGGGAAUUUUGGACAAUGGGCGCAAGCCUGAUCCAGCAAUGCCGCGUGCAGGAAGAAGGCCUUCGGGUUGUAAACUGCUUUUGUACGGAACGAAGCGGUCCUGGUUAAUACCUGGGGCUAAUGACGGUACCGUAAGAAUAAGCACCGGCUAACUACGUGCCAGCAGCCGCCGUAACAC
rnacentral:rRNA from 1 species